rnacentral:rRNA from 1 species
GUCUGCAACCCGACUACAUGAAGCUGGAAUCGCUAGUAAUCGCGGAUCAGAAUGCCGCGGUGAAUACGUUCCCGGGUCUUGUACACACCGCCCGUCACACCAUGGGAGUCGGAAAUGCCCGAAGUCUGUGACCCAACCAUUAAGGAGGGAGCAGCCGAAGGCAGGUCGGAUGACUGGGGUGAAGUCGUAACAAGGUACC